UACAGAGGUGGCAAGCGUUGUUCGGAAUUACUGGGCGUAAAGGGCGCGUAGGCGGCCUUCUAAGUCAGACGUGAGAUCCCCAGGCUUAACUUGGGAACUGCGUCUGAUACUGGGAGGCUUGAGUGCGGGAGAGGGAUGUGGAAUUCCAGGUGUAGCGGUGAAAUGCGUAGAUAUCAGGAGGAACACCGGUGGCGAAGGCGGGUCUCUGGGCCGUAACUGACGCUGAGGAGCGAAAGCGUGGGGAGCGAACAGG
rnacentral:rRNA from 1 species